rnacentral:rRNA from 1 species
UACGGAGGGUGCAAGCAUUAAUCGGAGUUAUUGGGCGUAAAGGACGCGUAGGCGGUAAGAUAAGUCGGGUGUGAAAUCCCGGGGCUCAACCCCGGAAUUGCACUUGAAACUGUCUUUCUAGAGGGUAGGCGGAGAAAACGGAAUUCCACAAGUAGCGGUGAAAUGCGUAGAUAUGUGGAAGAACACCUGUGGCGAAAGCGGUUUUCUAGCUUAUUCCUGACGCUGAGGCGUGAAAGCAAGGGGAGCAAAC